GAUUUCUACAGAGACCUAGUUAAAUCUUAUCUCAGCAGCUAAAUAGCGAAGAAGUGAGAAAGCACUGUCCUGAGCCAAACAUUGUGCACGGGAUGGAAGUCAAUGGUGUCUGGCUCCAAGAUGUGAAGACGUGCUGUGACAUGAUGAGUGAGGAACAUCUUGACUGCAGCUGAACGGAGCCCCGUUGGCGAUGGCAAGAAGGAGGUUAGUGCACAAACCUUUGG
rnacentral:lncRNA from 1 species